rnacentral:rRNA from 1 species
GAGAUGCGAUUUCGGUCAAAUCAAGUGCAAUCUUAGUGGCGGACGGGUGAGUAACGCGUGGGUAACCUGCCUUGCACUGGGGGAUAACACUUAGAAAUAGGUGCUAAUACCGCAUAAGCGCACGGUCCUGCAUGGGACAGUGUGAAAAACUCCGGUGGUGCAAGAUGGACCCGCGUCUGGUUAGCUGGUUGGCGGGGUAAAGGCCCACCAAGGCGACGAUCAGUAGCCGGCCUGAGAGGGUGGACGGCCACAUUGGGACUGAGACACGGCCCAAACUCCUACGGGAGGCAGCAGUGGGGGAUAUUGGACAAUGGGGGGAACCCUGAUCCAGCGACGCCGCGUGAGUGAAGAAGUAUUUCGGUAUGUAAAGCUCUGUCAGCAGGGAAGAAAGCAAUGACGGUACCUGACCAAGAAGCCCCGGCUAACUACGUGCCAGCAGCCGCGGUAAUACGUAGGGGGCAAGCGUUAUCCGGAAUUACUGGGUGUAAAGGGAGCGUAGACGGAUGUGCAAGUCUAAUGUGAAAGGCGGGGGCUCAACCCCUGGACUGCAUUGGAAACUGUAAAUCUUGAGUGCCGGAGAGGUAAGCGGAAUUCCUAGUGUA